rnacentral:misc_RNA from 1 species
GAUGAAGAACGUAGCGAAUUGCGAUAAGUAAUGUGAAUUGCAGAAUUCAGUGAAUCAUCGAAUCUUUGAACGCACCUUGCGCCCUUUGGCUAUUCCGAAGGGCAUGCCUGUUUGAGUAUCAUGAACACCUCAACUCUCAUGGUUUGCCAUGAUGAGCUUGGACUUUGGGGGUCUUGCCGGCCUAUGGGUCGGCUCCUCUCAAAUUAAUCAGCUUGCCAGUGUUUGGUGGCAUCACAGGUGUGAUAACUAUCUACGCUUGUGGUUUUCCAUCAGGUAACCUUCAGUGAUGGAGGUUCGCUGGGGCUCAUAAAUGUCUCUCCUCAGUGAGGACAGCUUUUUUGAACGUUUGAUCUCAAAUCAGGUAGGACUACCCGCUGAACUUAAGCAUAUCAAUAAGCGGAGA